rnacentral:rRNA from 1 species
UACAGAGGUCUCAAGCGUUGUUCGGAUUCAUUGGGCGUAAAGGGCGCGUAGGCGGCCAUCUAAGUCAGACGUGAAAUCCCUCGGCUCAACCGAGGAACUGCGUCUGAUACUGGAAGGCUUGAAUCCGGGAGAGGGAUGUGGAAUUCCAGGUGUGGCGGUGAAAUGCGUAGAUAUCUGGAGGAACACCGGUGGCGAAGGCGGCAUCCUGGACCGGUAUUGACGCUGAGGAGCGAAAGCCAGGGGAGCAAACGGGG